rnacentral:rRNA from 1 species
AUGCACGCUGGCGGCGUGCCUAAUACAUGCAAGUCGAGCGAACAGACGAGGAGCUUGCUCCUCUGACGUUAGCGGCGGACGGGUGAGUAACACGUGGAUAACCUACCUAUAAGACUGGGAUAACUUCGGGAAACCGGAGCUAAUACCGGAUAAUAUAUUGAACCGCAUGGUUCAAUAGUGAAAGACGGUUUUGCUGUCACUUAUAGAUGGAUCCGCGCCGCAUUAGCUAGUUGGUAAGGUAACGGCUUACCAAGGCAACGAUGCGUAGCCGACCUGAGAGGGUGAUCGGCCACACUGGAACUGAGACACGGUCCAGACUCCUACGGGAGGCAGCAGUAGGGAAUCUUCCGCAAUGGGCGAAAGCCUGACGGAGCAACGCCGCGUGAGUGAUGAAGGUCUUCGGAUCGUAAAACUCUGUUAUUAGGGAAGAACAAAUGUGUAAGUAACUAUGCACAUCUUGACGGUACCUAAUCAGAAAGCCACGGCUAACUACGUG